rnacentral:rRNA from 1 species
UACGUAGGGUGCGAGCGUUGUCCGGAAUUAUUGGGCGUAAAGGGCUCGUAGGCGGUUUGUCGCGUCGGGAGUGAAAACCCAGGGCUUAACCCUGGGCUGGCUUCCGAUACGGGCAGACUAGAGGUAUGCAGGGGAGAACGGAAUUCCUGGUGUAGCGGUGGAAUGCGCAGAUAUCAGGAGGAACACCGGUGGCGAAGGCGGGUCUCUGGGCAGUAACUGACGCUGAGGAACGAAAGCGUGGGUAGCAAACAGG